GACAGAGACUGCAAGCGUUAUUCGGAUUCACUGGGCGUAAAGGGUGCGCAGGCGGCCGUGUGUGUCAGGUGUGAAAGCCCGGAGCUUAACUCCGGAAUUGCGCCUGAAACUACAUGGCUAGAGCAUUGGAGAGGGUAGCGGAAUUCACGGUGUAGCAGUGAAAUGCGUAGAUAUCGUGAGGAACACCAGAGGCGAAGGCGGCUACCUGGACAAUUGCUGACGCUCAGGCACGAAAGCGUGGGGAGCAAAAGGG
rnacentral:rRNA from 1 species